CCUCCUUUUGUCCUUGGCUCCCUGUCUUUGGAGCAGGACCGGAAUGUGAGAGGGUGUCUGCCCCUCCUGUCGUCUGUCCCUUUCCUUCUAAGGCCCGAGGAGGAAGGCAUGCUGUGGGCUCUCGCCCUCCUUCUAGCUUUCCUGGCUCCUGCCACUCAGGUAUCUUCCAACUUGGAAGGGAAACAGAUGUCACUCACCAGACAAGCUGGGUUGUCUGCUGUAAUCACUUGUGAUAUUGAACAUACCAGUAAAUACAUCCACUGGUACCAAUACCAGGAGGGGAUGGCCCCACGACGACUUCUCUACUAUCAGGUCUUCAGCUCAAAUGUUGUGGUAGAAUCCGGAAUCACUUCAGGGAAAUACCAUGCUUAUGGAGGCACAGGGAGGACCUGUAAAUUUUCACUUGAAAAUCUAGAAGAAGGUGAUUCUGGUGUGUAUUACUGUGCUAGCCCAAACUGGAUCAAGAAAUUUGGAAAAGGGACUAAGCUCAUAGUAACUUCCUCUGAUAGACGCCUUCCUGCAGACAUUUCCCCCAAGCCCACCAUUUUUCUUCCUUCGCUUGCUGAAAUAAACCUCCAUAAGGCUGGAACGUAUCUUUGUCUUCUUGAGAAUUUCUUCCCUGAUGUUAUUAACAUAUAUUGGAAAGAAAAGAAUGGCAAAGCAAUUCUAGAAUCCCAGCAGGGAAAUACCAUGAAGACUAAUGACACAUACAUGAAAUUCAGCUGGCUGACCGUCACUAAAAAGUCAGUGGAUAAGAAACACAAAUGCAUCGUCCAACACGAGCACAAUAAAGGAGGGGUUGGCCAAGAGAUUAUUUUUCCUUCAGUGAUUGAAGUUCUCAUCUCAAUUGUCACUGCUGUUCAUCCUACAAAGGCUUCUCCAAAAGAUGAAAACAAGGUCUCUGCCAUUGGUUCCAUAGAAGCUUACCCAACAGGGCAACGUGAGAUCCCUGCUAUUAAUUCUACAAGAGCUGUUCUCAAUCAUGAAAGUCGUUAA